UUCAGUUUAGUCCCAUAUUGUUUCUGCUUUAAAAAUUGUUUUAUUUGGUUUAUGUAAAGAUUUUAUUAUUUACAUUUGUAACAUAUUUUUUUCUGGAGAUCUGAGCAAGUUUUUAGCAUCUUUGUAUGUAGAUUGUUGUUGUUACGGGGCAUUAAGUUAAGCUGGGUAACUCUGCUUGUCUUGAAACUAAUAAGCUCAGAGCAUUGGGCCUGUUUUUCGGUGUACACUGGUAUCAUUUUGGUAUAUGGUUGUAAAACAUGUAAUUAGUUGUUUUUUUUUAAUAUAUAUAUUUAUGCUUAUUUUUUUUUAAUUGGGUAUUCUUUUAUUUUGUCGGCUUUGUUUGGUUUUGAUAAGUCCCAAGUCGUCAUACCAUGUUUUCUAUUCACAACACUUAUAACUGAUUGAUGUGGAUAAUGCUAUUGUUAAAACGGGUGAACUUCAACGGUUUGAUAUUUUUGUCUGUAUCUUAUAGAGCUAUAUACAAUUUUUUAAUAAGAAAUUUCAUACAUACAAUGCUUUAUCUUAAAACUAGAUAAAGGGAUUUUUUUUGUAAUGAUCAAUUUAUUCUAGCCUUAUGAUAAGGUUGUCCCUAUUCUAGCCUUAUGAUAAGGUUGUCCCCAUUCUAGCCUUAUAAGGUUGUCCCUAUUCUAGCCUUGUUAUAAUAAGGUUGUCUCUAUUCUAGCCUUAUAAUGCUAAGGUUGUCCCUAUACAGGGAGGGUUGUUCAACCAGUCAAAUAUUAUGUUGCUCACUGGUAUUUUCAUAUAGUUUACUAUACACCUGAUGUACAUACACUUUUAGCUGCUGAUAUUAUGUACAUACACAUCAUAUUCUUUAUAUUAUUGCUGUCAUACUAACAUUCCGUGUCGUUUGUUUUUGUGUAAGUAAAAAAUUUUUUUUUUUCAAAUCAGGAAUGUGAAUAGAAGCAGAUUUAGUAGAUUUAAUCUCUGUGUUGGUAUGGUAAAAAGUGUGGGUUUUUUUUUUUACUACACCAGUAAGUACUACACCGAAAAUCUCAAGUUUGAAUCCAUGUUCACAUCAGUAGAACAUCCCUGAGUCCACCCAGCUCUAAUGGGUACCCAACUCAUGUUAGCGAAAGUAAAGGCGGCUGUGCAAUGUGCUGACCACACCUUUCCUUCAUUUGCUGAGGUCAAAAAACAAAUGAACUCUACUUCAUCUGGCCAGUGGAUGGCUAGGUCUAAAGAGGAAUCUUUACUUUAAUGAGUUGAGGGUUAAUUGAUGAUGCUCAGCUUUUGUUAAGGCAGUUCUGAUGGGUGCCUGGUUUUGAUCAGAAAUUAUUUGCUGGCCAUUUUACUGACAACCCAAUCACUUAGGUGUGAUGAUUAGACAGUAAUGUAUACUGUACCUUUAUUGUGUGUCUGAAUGCUGUAUAGACAAAAGUUUAAGUAUGAUAUCUGAAUGCUGUAUAAAACAAAGUGAAGUGUGAAAUUGAUGUCUAAAUGCUGUAUAGACUAUAGUGUAAGUAUAGAAUAGACAGUAGUGUAAGUAUGAAAUUGAUGUCUGAAUGCUGGUAUGAAAUGGAUGUCUGAAUGCUGUAAAGACAAUAGUGUCAGUAUGAUAUCUAAUGCAGUAUAAAACUAAGUGAAGUGUGAAAUUGAUGUCUGAAUACUGUAUAAAAACCAAGUGUAUGUAUGAAAUUGAUGUCUGAAUGCUGUAUAAAAGUGUAAGUAUGAAAUUAAUGUCUGAAUGCUGUAUAGAUAAUAGUGUAAGUAUGAAAUUGAUGUCUGAAUGCUGUAUAAAAGUGUAAGUAUGAAAUUAAUGUCUGAAUGCUGUAUAGAUAAUAGUGUAAGUAUGAAAUUGAUGUCUGAAUGCUGUAUAGACAAUAGUGUAAGUAUGAAAUUGAUGUCUGAAUGCUGGUAUGAAAUUGAUGUCUGAAUGCUGUAAAGACAAUAGAGUAAGUAUGAUAUUGAUGUCUGAAUGCUGUAUAAAAGUGUAAGUAUGACAUUGAUGUCUGAAUGCUGUAUAAAAGUGUAAGUAUGAUAUUGAUGAUGAAUGAAGUUGCAUGAGUCAUGCUCCUGAUGUUGUGACUGGCAAUAGAACCAUCUGUUGUAUUGCCUCUCUUGUUUGUGAAGAGUUCUAUACUAACAACUAGCAUGUACACAUUACACUACACCAUGUACAUAGGACAGACACAACUGAGAUCAUUUGUAAGUAAAUAUUUCAUGUCUUAGUUUCAUGCAUUGGAUAGUAUCUUUUAUUUUAAAUCAUUUCUUCCAUGUCCACAUUUCAUUGAAAUGUUGGUUUUAAAGGCAAUCAUUGUAGUUUUUACUGACUUAAUUAGGGCUGGCUACUAACAUUAUUUUAUUUUAUUAAGGUGAAUCCUAUGGUUGUGAUUUUUAAGAAAAAUCCUAUCUGUGGGAUUUUGUUUUACAGCUUGCUUGAUAGCUAAGAAAAGAUCACUUUUUAAAAUAAAAAUCUCCUGUUCAUGAGA